AAAAAUUAAUCAAAUUAAAGCUAAUUAAAAUUGUUUAAUUUGGUUUGAAUUUUAUUUGUCCCCAAGCUGACUACUGACCCAACCCUCUAGCGGCCUCUACAGCCUUAUAAAUAUACAAAAUUUAAGAAGCUAAGUAAGAAACUAAGAAAAUGAGAAAUUAAAUCCAAAGUGCAAGCGAAGUUUGAUUUGGGCAACCAUUUUUUUAUACAAGGAUGACAUCAGUUAAAAUAGAGCAGUGAUUGGAGAAGACCCAAAAGAAGAAAAAGCUGUCCAAAUGGAACCUACCAUAUAUGAGGUCUUAACCUGUUGGUCAACCAGACAGCUACGUUUUCACUUUCUAAAUCUAGGACAAACUCAUUCUGGUGUGAGAAUGGUGGAGCUUGUGACUUGAGAAGAUAGUUCAAGGAGAGAAUUAUUCAACUAUUCAUGCAUGUACGAACCUGGAUUUGGUGGAGACCACGGUAAACAUUAUGCAUCACCAUGUUGCUACAUUUUCUGUUUUCAUAGUGCUUUGGAAAGGGAGUGAUGAUUGCUCUCUUCCAACAACAACGUCACAUGCUUCUCUCAUCUCUCACUUUUUAGU